UGGGGAAUAUUGCACAAUGGGCGCAAGCCUGAUGCAGCCAUGCCGCGUGUGUGAAGAAGGCCUUCGGGUUGUAAAGCACUUUCAGCGAGGAGGAAGGUGGUGAACUUAAUACGUUCAUCAAUUGACGUUACUCGCAGAAGAAGCACCGGCUAACUCCGUGCCAGCAGCCGCGGUAAUACGGAGGGUGCAAGCGUUAAUCGGAAUUACUGGGCGUAAAGCGCACGCAGGCGGUUUGUUAAGUCAGAUGUGAAAUCCCCGGGUUCAACCUGGGAACUGCAUUUGAAACUGGCAAGCUAGAGUCUCGUAGAGGGGGGUAGAAUUCCAGGUGUAGCGGUGAAAUGCGUAGAGAUCUGGAGGAAUACCGGUGGCGAAGGCGGCCCCCCUGGACGAAGACUGACGCUCAGGUGCGAAAGCGUGGGGCAGCAAACAGGAUUAGAUACCCUGGUAGUCCACGCUGUAAACGAUGUCGAUUUGGAGGUUGUGCCCUUGAGGCGUGGCUUCCGGAGCUAACGCGUUAAAUCGACCGCCU
rnacentral:rRNA from 1 species